rnacentral:lncRNA from 1 species
UUAUAUUCUAAUUCGCCAACUCAAACGAAUAUAAAUUAUUUAAUAAAUAAAACAACACAUAAAUAGGAUAAGUGUGCCUACAGCUGUAGCAGCCUUUAAUAUUACAUUACAUUCAAUUUCAUUCUCAAACUAAAGUCCUUCACUUUAAAUUCAGGCACACUACCAUCAGUCCAAUCAUACAAUAGCACAGUUAUAUACAGUAACAGUAACACAAUCAAAAACUAUCUACAAAAGAGGAAAAAUUCAUAUUAAUAUAAUGUACUAAUGCAUAUACUCCUAUUAACGAUAACCAUCUCAUAAAAGGGGUGGGUGGGUGGGUAAACAUAAUAACGAAUGCUGCUACGUCGUACUAUAGGCAAACUUCGAAUAACUUAAUUUUCUCAAGCUACCCCCUUAAGUAAUACUUAAUCAUGCUUUUCACGAAAAUCAUGAGGGCAUAUACCCGUAAAACCGGCAGUACGAAUAUAUGCCAUCCAAUCAAAUAGAACGUAAACACACACCAUGUGCUUGAUAUAAACACACACACGUGUUUAUAGUAAACAAUCACUUGACCGUUACAACGUCAUGUGACUUAAUACCUUUAAUAAA